CGAUACACAUAUAUACUCGUUCUAUACACUGAUCGUAUCUCUUUGUAGGGGUGCGUUCGCUUACACGGGCUCUAGAUCAUUCUCGACAUAAGAUUAUCUUUAUGAAAAGCGAAUUACAAUAUUGUUUGUCAUCAUUUGUGGGGUAAAGGAAGGAGAAGCGGAGAACCUCAUAGAGGAUUACUAGAGAUCCACGAUGUGAUGACCUUCCGACAGGGAUUCUUGGUUUCCGUGAUUGCAUUUAUAAGCUGCCAUCGCCAUUAUGGUACACGUGUACUCACCGGAUUAAGUCAUGUUUACGUAUUCUAAGACUGUCGUUCGAAGAGCAAAAUGACUAUGCCAUCAAAUUAAAUAAUUUCGAAUUAUUUACGUACAUGAUCCAAUAUUGUACACCUAUUCCGCGAAGUUAUACGCAAAUAUUGAGUUUCUGCAAAACAUAUAAACGUGUACUACUUUACAGCGAAUACUUCGCUUAAGUUCGCUAUAACGAUACACAGAUAGAAAGGAAACAGCUUGUUCGUACUUACUCGAUUUUAUUUGAAACAGUUACCGAGAAAAGAAUAAUUUUCAAUGGGUUCGAAUAAAUUCGCAAUUCUUCGAGCGAAAUAUGUCCACAACACCUUUGUGCCCGAUGCUAAUGAAUUUCACAGUCAUUUAAAUUUAACGCGAUAUUUGAUUCAAAUGCAAUUACAUGGUACUUACGUAUAUUGCCUUUCAAAGAUCACAGUGUACUCUACACUACAUAGAAAAGCAUAUCUAGGGCAGUGGUACUCAUUGGUUUCUUUCGAGUGAUCCUUGAAUUAAAAUAUUGCAUUUUGAUUCGAUCAAUGACAUUUAUCUUUUAUUUAUAUAAUGCUCACUGAUACUACAUCUAAUUUCGAAGACGACAAUUAUCCGAUCAAAUUUUUAGUAAUCUCAAUUGUUUAUCGAGGUAAUAUCGUUAACACGGAUCAGUGAGUACAUCUACUCACCAUAUCAAGAAGCAUAUGAUUCUAAACGAAACAAAUAACACGUCCGAUCGACUCCCGAUAUAACUCGUGUAAUACAAAUUAAAGUGAAUUGUACAU